CUUGAGAGAGUCCACCUGUGAAGAUUUUCCUAGAGAUGGUGGCCCGUCAGGUCAGAGAAUUCGUCAAAUCUGUGGAAAGGAAGGGCACGUGCCAUGUUACAGGGUUUCAAUCCCAAUGUUUGAGAAAAUCCCAAAGUCAAGUGCUCCAUUGAACUUGCCGGGACGAGGCGGGAAAGAAGAACCGUGCGCGCUUUUCGAAGGAUCACGCAGCAUCGACGAAAUAUUCCGAUCGUCAAAGGCUUUGAGGCUUGCGCGCUUUGAUGCGUUUCUUAAAAGUUUAUAUUCAAUCGAACGUGAAUUGUCUCUUCGUGGAAAAUGUUACUUAAUAAAACUUCUAAA